AGGUAAGCUACUAAGAGCGAAUGGUGGAUGCCUUGACUGGUAAAGGCGAUGAAGGACGUACUAGACUGCGAUAAGCUACGGGGAGCUGUCAAGAAGCUUUGAUCCGUAGAUUUCCGAAUGGGGCAACCCAAUGUAUAGAGAUAUACAUUACCUAUAUAGGAGCGAACGAGGGGAAUUGAAACAUCUUAGUACCCUCAGGAAAAGAAAUCAAUAGAGAUUGCGUCAGUAGCGGCGAGCGAAAGCGUAAGAGGGCAAACCCAGUGCUUGCACUGGGGGUUGUAGGACUGCAAUGUGCAAGAGGUGAGUUUAGCAGAACAUUCUGGAAAGUAUAGCCAUAGAGGGUGAUAGUCCCGUAUGCGAAAAACAAACCUUAGCUAGCAGUAUCCUGAGUAGGGCGGGACACGAGAAAUCCUGUCUGAAGCUGGGUCGACCACGAUCCAACCCUAAAUACUAAUACCAGAUCGAUAGUGCACAAGUACCGUGAGGGAAAGGUGAAAAGAACUGAGGUGAUCAGAGUGAAAUAGAACCUGAAACCAUUUGCUUACAAUCAUUCAGAGCCCUAUGUAGCAAUACAGGGUGAUGGACUGCCUUUUGCAUAAUGAGCCUGCGAGUUGUGGUGUCUGGCAAGGUUAAGCAAACGCGAAGCCGUAGCGAAAGCGAGUCUGAAUAGGGCGCUUAGUCAGAUGCUGCAGACCCGAAACGAAGUGAUCUAUCCAUGAGCAAGUUGAAGCUAGUGUAAGAACUAGUGGAGGACUGAACCCAUAGGCGUUGAAAAGCCCCGGGAUGACUUGUGGAUAGGGGUGAAAGGCCAAUCAAACUUCGUGAUAGCUGGUUCUCUCCGAAAUAUAUUUAGGUAUAGCGUUGUGUCGUAAUAUAAGGGGGUAGAGCACUGAAUGGGCUAGGGCAUACACCAAUGUACCAAACCCUAUCAAACUCCGAAUACCUUAUAUGUAAUCACAGCAGUCAGGCGGCGAGUGAUAAAAUCCGUCGUCAAGAGGGAAACAACCCAGACUACCAGCUAAGGUCCCUAAAUCUUACUUAAGUGGAAAACGAUGUGAAGUUACUUAAACAACCAGGAGGUUGGCUUAGAAGCAGCCAUCCUUUAAAGAAAGCGUAAUAGCUCACUGGUCUAGUGAUUUUGCGCGGAAAAUAUAACGGGGCUAAAGUA
rnacentral:rRNA from 1 species